rnacentral:rRNA from 1 species
AUGGCCCGUUCCAUGGUUCUGCUCGCCCGCGAGAUUGAUUUCAGCCCCCACGACGAGGGCCGACAGUUCCGGUGGGGGUUCUAUGAAGGAAUGCUGCCAACCCGCAAAGCGAUGAGGGAGGAUGUCAUCAGGUACCUGCGGACCUUCAAGGCCCGCGCAGUCGUCGACAAUCCGCCGGAGCUCUCCUUCCUCCACAUACUGGUGCCGCCGCAAUCCCGACCGCUCCCGCCGACAUGCAUGGACCUGGACUCGGCCCGCAUCUCCAGCACGGACAAGAACCUGGUCGCCCUUUAUGCCGGAGGGUACCGCCCUGGCUCCGAUUUGCUGGGAGGCUAUCUCAUCUACGACGCCAGCAACGACUCCCUCUCCGUCAUCCCCCCUCUUCCCUCCGACGACUUGCGUGGAGCCAUGGGGCACCAGUCGGCCGUCAUCAUGUGCGACCCCCAUGGGGAGGGCUACCUUCUUGCCGAGCUCAUCAAGAAAGGCGGGGGUCUGGCUGGGGUCUGGCUGUGGAAGUCGUCCGCCCCAGAACCGAAAUGGGUCUCGGUACCCGGGAGCCAUCCCCUUCCACCCAGCAGAUUCACCGUUGACUCGUGCUUCUCUUACCGGGGCUCUACCCUUUGCUGGGUGGAUCUGCUCAAAGGCAUGUUGCUCUGUGAUCUCAACCAAGACUGCGACAACAAGUUCAGCUUUAUCAAGCUGCCACAAGACUGUCCAGCCCUGGAUUGGAACUUAAAGGAGUUCAGCUUUGUCAAGCUGCCACAAGACUGUCCAGCCCUGGAUAGGAACUUAGAGGAGUCCAGCUAUAUCAUCAAGUUCUGCACCCGCCCUGAGGAGUUCCGUUCCAUGGCCUGUGUUUGUGACCACAUCAAGCUUGUCUCCUUGGAUGAAUCUGGAUUGGAACUCUCGCUCUGGACUCUGUUGACUGAUCACUCACACUGGAUCAAAACCUCCAAGUACAAUGUUGAUAAAAUCUGGGCAAACGUCAACUAUCAGUCUACUGUUUUGAGACAGCUUAUUCCGUCUCUUCCUGUCCUGAGCAUCCAUGAAGACGGGGUUGUCUACUUGGUCGUGAAUGAUGAAAGCAUCGUGGACCGUCGACUAGAGCAUAAAGGCCAGUAUUUGCUUCGUGUUGACAUGAAGAAUAACGAGGUCCAGAUCUCUCCACAGCCUACAAGGCGUAUUUGUUACCAACUCUUUGCCAGCGAGUUCAGUGCGUACCGACAGCAUUUACAGGAUCGACCGAGAGAGAUAGAAGCAAGAGAGUUCGGUGCGAGUGAAAAGACGUUGAAGAUUUGA